AACGAAUCCAAAGAUAAUCUGCAUCAAGUAGAUACUCACCUGGAACACCCAGCAGCCAAUAGAAAGAGAGGACGUAUUUGAUCCAACAGAAAGAAAUACAUAACACGGCACAGGUAGAUAUGUGUACAGGUAGAUAGAUGUACAGGUUUUUGUUAUCAGGUAGGAUGGUAGAGAGGUAAGCAGGUAGUCAGCGACAACUUUAAACAGGUUUUCAGGUAUAUGGGUACUUCCAUGGUUGGUGGAAAUUUAAAAAAAAAGGUGGACAGGUAAACAGGGCUGUUUUAGUUUCCAAACGAUCUGAAUCUCAGGUAUCUCAGGUGAGUUGGGGAAAGAGCCUAGUAAGUCACUGUUAGCACAUAUGUAGCAUUGAUGCAAA